rnacentral:rRNA from 1 species
CGCUGGCGGCAGGCCUAACACAUGCAAGUCGAGCGGAUGAAAGGAGCUUGCUCCUGGAUUCAGCGGCGGACGGGUGAGUAAUGCCUAGGAAUCUGCCUGGUAGUGGGGGACAACGUUUCGAAAGGAACGCUAAUACCGCAUACGUCCUACGGGAGAAAGCAGGGGACCUUCGGGCCUUGCGCUAUCAGACGAGCCUAGGUCGGAUUAGCUAGUUGGUGAGGUAAUGGCUCACCAAGGCGACGAUCCGUAACUGGUCUGAGAGGAUGAUCAGUCACACUGGAACUGAGACACGGUCCAGACUCCUACGGGAGGCAGCAGUGGGGAAUAUUGGACAAUGGGCGAAAGCCUGAUCCAGCCAUGCCGCGUGUGUGAAGAAGGUCUUCGGAUUGUAAAGCACUUUAAGUUGGGAGGAAGGGCAGUAAAUUAAUACUUUGCUGUUUUGACGUUACCGACAGAAUAAGCACCGGCU